AAUAGAUACCCGGGUAGUCCAUGCCGUAAACGUUGGGCACUAGGUGUGGGGGGACAUUCCACGUUUUCCGCGCCGUAGCUAACGCAUUAAGUGCCCCGCCUGGGGAGUACGGCCGCAAGGCUAAAACUCAAAGGAAUUGACGGGGGCCCGCACAAGCGGCGGAGCAUGCGGAUUAAUUCGAUGCAACGCGAAGAACCUUACCAAGGCUUGACAUGAACCAGACCGGGCUGGAAACAGUCCUUCCCCUUGUGGGUUGGUUUACAGGUGGUGCAUGGUUGUCGUCAGCUCGUGUCGUGAGAUGUUGGGUUAAGUCCCGCAACGAGCGCAACCCUCGUUCUAUGUUGCCAGCACGUGAUGGUGGGGACUCAUAGGAGACUGCCGGGGUCAACUCGGAGGAAGGUGGGGACGACGUCAAAUCAUCAUGCCCCUUAUGUCUUGGGCUUCACGCAUGCUACAAUGGCCGGUACAAAGGGUUGCGAUACUGUGAGGUGGAGCUAAUCCCAAAAGCCGGUCUCAGUUCGGAUUGGGGUCUGCAACUCGACCCCA
rnacentral:rRNA from 1 species